GACGAACGCUGGCGGCGUGCCUAAUACAUGCAAGUAGAACGCUGAAGAGAGGAGCUUGCUCUUCUUGGAUGAGUUGCGAACGGGUGAGUAACGCGUAGGUAACCUGCCUGGUAGCGGGGGAUAACUAUUGGAAACGAUAGCUAAUACCGCAUGAUAUUAAUUGUCGCAUGAUAAUUAAUUGAAAGAUGCAAUUGCAUCACUACCAGAUGGACCUGCGUUGUAUUAGCUAGUUGGUGAGGUAACGGCUCACCAAGGCGACGAUACAUAGCCGACCUGAGAGGGUGAUCGGCCACACUGGGACUGAGACACGGCCCAGACUCCUACGGGAGGCAGCAGUAGGGAAUCUUCGGCAAUGGGGGGAACCCUGACCGAGCAACGCCGCGUGAGUGAAGAAGGUUUUCGGAUCGUAAAGCUCUGUUGUAAGAGAAGAACGGGUGUGAGAGUGGAAAGUUCACACUGUGACGGUAUCUUACCAGAAAGGACGGU
rnacentral:rRNA from 1 species